GGAAGUUUAGCUACGUGUGGAACAUCACGGUGACAUCAGACUGAGCUGCAUCUGAGCUACAGCAGUGCCAUUGCUGGUACCACAUUUCAUUUGUUUGUCCCACAUGGCAUCUUCAGAAUGUGUUAGGUCAUGAUGUAUCCACGAUGUUUGCGAGUAUAAGGAAGCACAUGCAUGAGGGGAUAUGGUCCCCCAAGAGAACUUGCCAUGAGGCCUCCAUUCCACCCCCAUCCUGCAAUCACACAUGCAGCCUGACAGAGCCUGAUGUCCAGAGGAAACUCCACGAUGAACUAAAUUUAAGGGCCCAUUCUGACAACUUAAAUCUGAAAGGUGAAUUUUUGACUUAUGCUUAGUAUGAAGUACAGCACGAAGAGAAACACAAAUAGACACAUUUAGCUAAUUUUGUAGUUACACAUUUUAAAACCUUACUGAUUUCUCUUAUUAUCUGGAAUGGAACAAUUUUGAGUAGCAAAUCGUAUAGUGAAUGUUUGGAGGAUUGAACCCUGUUUAAUG